UUCUCUCUCCUACAUUUCUCUAUUUUCAUUAUCUCUCUAAAAUUUGUUUUAGGCAUAACUUUUGAACCGUAAGUCCGAUUUAGGAUCCGUUUUCGCCUACGGAUUCGUCUUCACGAGCUCUUUCUAUUGGUGGAAAGAAAAUUCAGAUUUGGUGAAACUAUUUUUUGACGACCUAGGAGGCUUGAUUUUAUUUUGUAUUGUCCACGAUUAUCGAAAAUAAGAUUUUGCAGGUAUGGAAUCAAGAUACUAGAGUAAGAAGUUCCGAUAUGUAUAAAAUGUCAAAUGGGUUGUGAAAUUUGUGUUUUCUUUAUGUUUGUUUGGAAUAAAGAAUGAGUACUACUGUACUAGUGUACUAUGUGAUAAAGACUAUAUAAUAUAUGCUUCCGCUGGAAUUUUGAGA